rnacentral:rRNA from 1 species
AUGAGCGGCUGGCGGCGUGCCUAAUACAUGCAAGUCGAGCGGUAAGGCCCUCUUCGGAGGUACACGAGCGGCGGACGGCUGAGUAACACGUAGGAAUGUACCCCAAAGUGAGGGAUAACUGCUCGAAAGAGUAGCUAAUACCGCAUGUGAUCUCCGGAUUAAAGCUUUACCGCGCUUUGGGAACAGCCUGCCGUAUGAUUAGUUUAGUUGGUGAGGUAAUGGCUCACCAAGACGAUGAUCAUUAGCUGGUCUGAGAGGAUGAUCAGCCAGACUGGGACUGAGACACGGGCCCAGACUCCUACGGGAGGCAGCAGUAGGGAAUUUUCCACAAUGGGUGAAAGCCUGAUGGAGCAACGCCGCGUGCAGGAUGAAGGCCCUUCGGGUUGUAAACUGCUUUUAUCUGUGACGAUUUUAUUGACAGUUAAGCAGAGUAGAUGAAUAAGGACCUGCUAACUACGUGCCAGCAGCCGCGGUCAUACGUAGGGUCCAAGCGUUAUCCGGAAUUACUGGGCGUAAAGAGUUGCGUAGGUGGCAUAGUAAGUAGAUAGUGAAAGCGUGUGGCUCAACCAUACAUCCAUUAUCUAAACUGCUAAGCUUGAGAAUGAGAGAGGUAGAUGGAAUUCCUGAUGUAGGGGUAAUAUCCGUAGAUAUCAGGAGGAACACCGAUUGGCGUAAGCAGUCUACUGGCUUCAUUUCUGACACUAAGGCACGAAAGCGUGGGGAGCGAACGGGAUUAGAUACCCCGGUAGUCCACGCCGUAAACUAUGAAUGCUAGCUGUAAGAGGUAUCGACCCCCUCUUGUAGCGAAGCUAACGCGUUAAGCAUUCCGCCUGUGGAGUACGGUCGCAAGACUAAAACAUAAAGGAAUUGACGGGGGACCCGCACAAGCGGUGGAGCGUGUUGUUUUAAUUCGAUGGUAAAGCGAAGAAACCUUACCCAGGCUUGACAUCCCGAGAAGGUCUCCGAAAGGAGAUUGUGCCGAAAGGAAUUCGGUGACAGGUGAUGCAUGGCCGUCGUCAGCUCGUGUCGUGAGAUGUUUGGUUAAGUCCAUCAAACGAGCGCAACCCUUAUAGUUAGUUGUAUUUUUCUAGCUAGACUGCCCUGGUAACAGGGAGGAAGGGGGGGGAUGAUGUCAGGUCAGUAUUUCCCUUACGUCUGGGGCUACAAACACGCUACAAUGGCCAGUACAAAGGGCAGCCAAGUCGCGAGACGGAGCAAACCCCAUCAAAGCUGGUCUCAGUUUCGGAUAGUAGGCUGAAACUCGCCUGCUUGAAGCCGGAAUCGCUAGUAAACGGUAGGUCAGCACACUACCGUGAAUACGUUCCCGGGUCUUGUACACACCGCCCGUCAAACCAUGAAAGUCGCCAAUACCUGACGUGUUGCCUAGUGCAGCCCUAAGGUAGGGGAGAUGAUUGGGGUU